rnacentral:lncRNA from 1 species
UGUGUUUCUUUAACAAGGAUCCUGAGGGAAAUCUGCAAAUAAAGGUAGAUGGGUCAUUUGUGCAGAUCAAAUAAGCUCUUGCUAACAUUCUCAGAUCCUUAGGUAGUUGUUACUACAUUAUGAGUUUUAUCUGGGUAAUAAGGAAGAACUGAAUAUUCUGUUAACAUUCUGGAACUCAUUGGAGGUUUCUUUUAUCCUAGAUUAAUAGUUGAGUAUUGUGUGAGGUGGGAGAUGUGUGUGUGUGUGUGUGUGUGUGUGUGUGAGUGAGUGUGUUCAGAAUUAAUGACAAUAUUUCCUUUUCAUCUGCAGACUUUGAAGAGGAACUAAUAUACAAAAGAUUUGUUUUCCAUAGGUUUAAUGAUGUUUUGUAAAAUGACUUGAAAUAGUCAUAUGUUUCUCUAAACCUGGGAGAUUAUUAUGGUCUUUGUCAUUGAGACUCCAAUAUGAGGCUCCCCUCCAAAGGAAAUAGGAAGUGAGAGAACAAGAAUUUCCUCUUAAUUAAAUGAUAAAAGCAACAGCUGUGUCUGUCUCCCUGUCCCACUCCUCAGCUCCCACCUGAUAGCCCUGCUGAGAUGCCAGCUUCUACCAGGUGACACUGUUAGCACUAUCCAUUCUUUCCUGUCCCUCCAACCUAGGGAUGGUACCUGCUACCUUUGUUGUGCCUCACUGUGCCCUGGUGGCCCCAUCAGCCUAUACUGUCCCUGUACAACCAAAUUCUUGCAUUAACUUCCCUUUGGUCAGAACUCAGAGUGGUAGUUCUUUCCCUGGUUGGAUCCUGAUUUAUCAUGUAUCAAACACUGGCAUGUCAGGAGAAAAACCAGGCAUGGCCUCUGCUCUCAUGGAGCUUCUGGUUUGGUUGAGGAGACAUUUCUCAAUAGAAAAAUGUACAUAUUGACAAUUACACAGGUUUAAUGUAGGUGAAGGAUAUGAUACAGCAGGAUAAAGAGCAAAGAAAACUGUAGAGAGGUCUAAGAUUUCCAGGCAUAGCUCCCUUUGGUCUGUCCUUAGUCACUGGAGACAGGAUAUACUUCAUCUUCAGAUUACCCACUGUUAAGAUAAAUGUAACCCGGGCCACAUAUAUUGAGGAGUCUUUUAUACUCACUGUCCGCAAGUAAAACCAGCCUGUUUAACCUGGUAUCAGUGUAUUAUUGGGCCAUUUUUGUGACUAUAGUGAAAUGCCUGAGGCAAACUAACUUUAUGAAGAAAAGAGGUUUAUUUGGAUCACAGGUUUAGAUCAUGAAAGUCCAAAUUGACAUGGUGCAGGUUCUGGUGAAGGACCUCUGACAGAAACAGCAGGAACAUGUGUGAGGAAGAGCUUACAUUACCAAACAGAAAGCUAGAAAGAGAUUGUGUAGCCCAGGCUCAGGCUUUUAAAACAACUAUCUUAUGAGAACUAACAAGAGUAACCUGGAGACAUACCUUAAUUUAUUUGGAGGCAGGAUCCCAUAUCAUCUAAAGACCUCACAUUAUUUUACACCUCUUAAAGGGUUUCAUCUCCUCUCAACACUGCUAGCCAGGGAACCAAGCUUCAAAAUCUCAGGGAAACCCCCAAUCCAUAUUUAAGCCCUAGCCACCCAAACUGUGUUCAAACUAUCAAUCUGUAUACCCCUAAACAAUGUAGACAAGCUAAUACAGAUUGCUUCCAGGGGAAUAAUUAUCUUUAACACAUUGCAAAGUCCUAGCUACUCCAUUUCGUGUGUGUGUGUGUGUGUGUGUGUGUGUGUGUGUUGGCUCUGAUUAGAAUGAGGUUUCAUUUUAGUCUUAUGACAAAACUUCAGGCACCCCAAGAGAGAAGCAGAGGAGCUGCUCUAGUAUAGCUGGAAGGCAACCCUACCUCAUGCAGCCUGUGAACUUACAGUAGAUGCCAGAGAAUCAGGGACACUCUCACUAAUAUGAGAACAUUCUAGCCGAGGUCUGAAGAAGGCAUGAGAAACUAAGUUGGCCCUAAUGGGAAGGAAGAAUCUGGUGCAAAGAACAGCAUUUUGCAAGCAGAUCCAUUCCAGCAAAUGGAAUAACACACAGGAGCAUAAAUAAAAAUUGGGCUGUGGAAGAGGCCAAAGCUAGAUUCUAAAGAGAUAUUUUAAGGCAACCAUAUGGAUCUGAGGAAAUGACUGAUUUCCAUUUGAUUCUGCUGAUGCCUCUUUUACCCUAGAAAUUUCCUUGAUUCCAGAAGCAUCACACUGUCUUGAGGAUUCUCAAUAUCAUUUGUAGGUCAUUCUUUUUCAUAUGAAGACUCUUGACACUAACCGAUUUAAUAAAACAAUUUCAAGGCGAGGAAUUGAACAAGACUGGUUCCCAAACAACUUUAUCUAAAAUUGUUUUCUCUCCUGGAAUUGAUGGUGCUCUUCACUAUUCAGCUUUCUUGAUCUCUCCACCCUGUUCUCAUUUGUAUGUGCUCUAAUCUGAGCCAGAAUGUCCUUAACUGGUGGCAAAGAUGUCCACCAGAAGCUCCGGUCUUAUAUCUUGCUACAACUCCAAGUAAUAAAAAGGUCUGCUUUUCCAAUCGGCCCAUUAAAAACCCUGGCUAGAUUUUCAGGGUCAGACUCCAGUCAAAGAUCUAUCUCCAUACUGCUCACUGUGGCCUGAGGACACAACUUCUUGAUUGACCUGAUCAUUUUGCAGCCCAAGAUCUAAUUGAUGAGCUAGUUCCACCCAAAUCACUCAGACUGCUACUUUCCCCUGAGGAAAAGUAAGAAGGGGGAAAAAAGUGCUAUGAACUCUAGAAAGGCAAAAAGAAUAUAUACCCACUACAACUUCCGCCCAACCACUAGAUGUCAGAAUUUCUCAAGACCAUGUUCCAACCCCCCAUCUCUCUGUAUAUGCUCUCCAUACACAAGCUUGUUUAAUCCUUUUCUGUGGAUGACUACCACAUUUAUGUCUUAAGCUCAGCUAUUUUAUCGAAGCCCCACAAACAUGCGUCUCAUUAUACUUGACAUCCUUUUUUAAAAAAUUUCAAAGGUCCCUAAACUCAAGUCAAACUCUUUGAUAUCCACUGCCCACCCUUCAGUUUAUUUCUCUUUCAGAAUUUCCUACAGAAAACACCAAGCAUUCUAAAUGAAAACCAAAUUUCCAGGCAUCAUAAUGACAUUUUCCUUCUCUGAGCAUCUAUCUAUCCCAAUUCAGCUCCAUUGAAUCUCUUAAAUGUCUCUUGAAAUUUUACCUACUAUCUUCACCCAUAUCAGCCAGUCCCCACUAUCGUCUAUAACUACAAAACUCAUUUGGAUUUCCCUGAGUUGUUCUUUACAGUCUCUUCUUUCCUGCAACCUCUCUAUACACUGCUCUCAGAGAAACCUUUUUUUUUUUUAAAAAAAAAAAAGGAUUAUUUUGGUACUUACUUAAUAAUCCUUGUAACCAAGUAACAGAGUCCCAAUCAUGGCAGCUGAACCUCCAGCCAAUCAGAAGCUGAAAGCUGCCCAAACCUGGCUAUAUAAAACCAAUGCCAACUGCAGUCAAUCAGGCGGUUUCUGUAUAUUAUUUCCUUUCUCUGGUUAUAAAUUUCAUCUGCACAUGUGGUGGGGUGGGGCAAUCUGAACCAUCUUUAGUCUGGGAUGUUGAACCCUUCUAGAACAUUUUUAUUGCAUAAGGAAACUUUGUUAAAACAGUGUAAAUGGUCUGUCUUCAUUUUAAUAGACUAAAUCACCAUUUAUAUAUGUAUUCCUAAGUCACAAUGUUCUUGCUACAGUUAGAAUUUUAUCUUUACCUAUACAAAUAUUUAAAUAUCUAAUUAUCUGACAUAGUAACUAUCAUGACUGAGCAUUUUCAGA